ensembl:lncRNA
CUAUUACAGUCUGUGGUAGAGCACUAGACUGGCAGGGCUUGUGGUCCCUAGAGGCUGUGGGGGGCACAGACUGUUUUUGAUGUGGUAUUAUAGGGGAGGGGGAGGAGAUGCUAAGGCUCUUUACUGAGUCAAGGAAAUGGUUAGGAUGCCCAAGCUACCAAGUGACUUUUUCUGGGUUAGAAACAUCAUCUAAAGACAGUAGGUUGACAACAGCUCAAUGUGAACAUGAAAGCAUUGUUAGAAAUAAUUUUAAUCCUCAUUAAAUAUUUCAGUGUAUUCAUAUAGCGCUUUAAACAACAGUCGUGGUCAGAAAGUAUCUUACAGAGAUCCAUAUGGAGACUCAUGGAGAAUAUUAGAAGAAAAUGUGAUCAAAAUGAGUGGGCAGCAAAAGUGGGGGUGUGGCAUGAUGCCCACAAAGAGUUCCUCUAACCUUGGUGGCUAUCUUGUGCCAUAUAGCUGAGUGGGCAACAAGAGUGUGAGGCCAGAUCCGUCCUUAUCUUGCACUGAGUCAAGUCCUUCACUCAAUAUAACUGAAAAAAUAUGAAAAAGUGUUGUAUUUAAGGUCAAUGAAAGCUAGUGGGAACUAGCUAGCAUGGCUCAUGGCUUACUUUCAGCCAUUACUAAUUUCCUUUACAGACUUUAAUAUUUUUUAAUAGACAACAAGCAAUCUCUUGUUCCUUUUUUUUCUUGACAACACUGUGAAAGAAAACAAUGUUUUAAACUGUAUGUUUUGGUUGAAACCCUGAAAACUCCAAACCAUUUUUUAAAUGAAAAUUUGUUAUGUUUUUCCAUUUUCUAAUGAUUAUUGAUUUUUCACUGUAAACUGACGUGGCUAUCCAGCUAAUCCAGUGUUCAGCUGUAGCUCAGUGCAAUUUGUAGACAGACAGGCCAUGCAAAAAUAUAUUCGCUGUGACUGAGUUUGUAGUUAUCACAACCAUUUAGAAACGUUGUUCGGAAAAAAUACAGAUACACCAGCCAGGCACCACAUCACCCCUAACGAGUGAUACCGUGGCACCAACUAAACUGAUAAGAAAUGUCACCAUUAUUUUUAUUGUCAUCUUUCAUUAGGGUUAAUAUGGAGCCUGCUUGGUGCAUCUGAUGGUGCCGGCAUGGUGCUGCAUCUUUCUCUUUCUGCCCGUACACACACAGAGGGAAGGAAUGCUGCGGGUUGUCUGGGCUGAUUGGUUUCUUCUAAACCUAAUCUACCUCCUGUGUGUGAGGGGAAGCAUUCAGAGGGAGACCGAGAGAGAGAAAGAGGUCAAAAGAGAAAAAGAUUGAAGCUUUUAACAGUUCAUGUUAAUGAUAUUCAAACAGAUGAAUAGCUGUGGAUGAACACAUGCUCAGAAGGCCACAAGGAUCCAAGUAAAAUAAGCAGAACGAGUCAGCGGGCUGAAAAACGCAGAACAGACGAGGGACAGAGACGGAACUUUGACAUAAUGGCGAAUAUAGGACUGGACUGGACGGUUUGUGGAAAGGGCAUGUGGCUCAGUAGCAUGACAUUAUUAACUGAAGAUAUUUUUUCAGGCUUGCGUAAGUCACCUUAAAUUACAAAAGGCUCUCUCAGAUCGUUCCCUUAAAGGUCUUUCAGCUCUGGGUUGAAACAUUUCAAGAAGCAUGUGACUGGAAUUCACCUGAAUAGAAAUCUGUGUGUAAAUGUGGGUGUAUAUAAAAAUAUACGCCUAUAAAAUGUAUGCCAUCGAGUUGAUGAGAAUGAUAUGAAAUAUUCAUAUAAGCCCUGACUCACAAGUUUCAUUAUGUCACUGCUUUCAAAAAGACAAUAAGAUAUUGUCUUUAGAACUCAGCAGCCAUGCAAGGAUUCAGAUAUUUGCUUUAGGGAAAUAUAUUUUUUAACAGACAUCAGUAGUUUAUUCAGUAGUUAUUGGUUUCAUCCAUUUGCAUCAUAUAUCAGGUGAUAUAUUGGACCUGGAAAUAUAUUUGUGAUGUCAAUAUCUUUACCAUACCAUACCAUUAAUGAUACAGUUAUUUCAUGUUUAAUCAUCAUUAUACAGUACAUCAUAAUACUAAUGUAUAAUCACACUGCUAGUAUGCAGUAUGUAUAUCAAAUUAAAUUGUCUCCUAAUUUGUAACGAAAUAAUGUUUCCCUUUGUUUAUUCUUAUCCUUUAAUUUAAGUCUUCCACAGUCUAGGAGGUCAAAGCCUUCCUUCAAGACAAAUGAAACCUCUGCAUAUUUUCAAACUGUUGCUUAUGUAAUGUCACAGGAUUGCUGGAUGAAUGAGAAUGAGACAGCUCUGUAUACAUGAGCUAACAGAUACCUCUGAUUGCCUAAUUUCACUCUCAUCAAUAGUGGAAAGAGGCUGUCCUUUCCACAUAGUAAGCAGGCCAGUUAUGCUUUCUUAGGUCUUUUUCUUCAAAUAACCUGUCAUUUGAUAUUCUUGUUUCCAAUAAAUAUGCACAAUACAUUGUGUGAUAUACAUGAUAAACACGAUCUACACAUUGAUUCCGAAAU